rnacentral:rRNA from 1 species
AGUGAACGCUGGCGGCAGGCCUAACACAUGCAAGUCGAGCGGCAGCGCGGGGGCAACCCUGGCGGCGAGCGGCGGACGGGUGAGGAAUACAUCGGAAUCUACCCAGUCGUGGGGGAUAACGUAGGGAAACUUACGCUAAUACCGCAUACGACCUGAGGGUGAAAGCAGGGGACCGCAAGGCCUUGCGCGAUUGGAUGAGCCGAUGUCCGAUUAGCUAGUUGGUGAGGUAAAGGCUCACCAAGGCGACGAUCGGUGGCUGGUCUGAGAGGAUGAUCGGCCACACUGGAACUGAGACACGGUCCAGACUCCGACGGGAGGAGGCAGUGGGGAAUAUGGGACAAUGGGCGCAAGCCUGAUCCAGCCAUGCCGCGUGUGUGAAGAAGGCCUUCGGGUUGUAAAGCACUUUUGUCCGGGAAGAAAAGCCAGGGAUUAAUACCCCCGGGUUCUGACGGUACCGGAAGAAUAAGCACCGGCUAACUUCGUGCCAGCCGCCGCCGUAACAC